rnacentral:lncRNA from 1 species
UGCGGAGUGUGCAUGCUUUACUUGCUCCUUCUUAAGCUGGUCUGGUGGAUUUCUUUCAGUUUUGGCCUUUUUCUUGCAAGCUUUCAGCUCUUCACACUUUUCCCUAUGUUUCCUUCCUAGAAGAUGGCACUUCAAGUCAUGCUCAGAGGUGGUUGUCACUUGACAUACUGCACAAGUCCACUCUUUCUGAACGUUCUUUAAAGAAUUAGUCUCCCGGAGUUUAAUCUCUUUGGUAUUAUCUGCUGGAAACGCUGUUUCCUUGAUCUGAACUAGUUUUUCCUUCACACUUUUAACCUGCAGUUCCACAGGGAAUAUUUUAAUCACUGGCUACGGAUUACUUUAGCUUUAUCAUAGAAAAAUAAAUGCUAGGCUAGAAUAAAGGUGGUAAUAGGAGAAACUAAGGUUUGAUUAGGCACGAGGUUUAAGAAGGAAAGUACAACUUUUAAAGCUUGUGGUAUUAAAUAUGUCAUAACAUUUAUAAAACUUUUGAAAUUAUGGUCUUAAACAAUGCUAUAACAUUUGUGUGGCAAAUGUUAAUUUGAUGGUAAAAUGGGAAACAUAAAUAGAAAUUAUUUUCAAAUUUAGAAGGUAUCAUUCUUUUUGGAACUGUGGAAUCAGCUACUUGUAUCACGGUAGGUUGCCUACAUCACACGCCCAAACCCGGACCUUGCAUAAACACGGGAUGCUUCGUGCCCCGGGCUGCCCCAUUCUUUUUGGAACGACUAACAAGGAAAUAGUAUCAUUCUUUUUCGAAUGAUGGAGUAUCUUCAUCUAUUGUUUGCUCGACAAUUGCAUCCGGAGCAAUACUUAGUAUCCCUAGAAAGACCAAGGAAGUUCUAGGGUUAAAAAAUUAAUAACCUGUUUGGGCUCAGCUGCUUCAUUAGUACUGUGCUCUGAUUGUGCUGCAGCAGCAUGUUUUACUUGCGCCUGAUUAAGCUGACUUGACUUUGUUGUAACAGGUGAGAUUCCUUCACUUUUGGCCACUUGCUUGCAAGUUUUCAGCUCUUCACACUUUGCCUUAUGUUUCCCUCCGUUAAGAUGGGAUUUCAAGUUAUGCUCUGAGGUGGUUGUCACUUGGCAUACUGCACAAGUCCACUCUGUCUGAACUUGCUUUACAGAAGUAAUCUCUGGAAGUUUAAUCUCUUCAACAUCUGCUGGAACUAUCAUUUCCUCGACCCGCAUUCCUACCGUUUUC